GACGAACGCUGGCGGCGUGCCUAAUACAUGCAAGUCGAGCGGGGAUUAUGCUUGAUCGCUUCGGUGAGACGGCAUAUAUCCUAGCGGCGGACGGGUGAGUAACGCGUGGGUAAUCUACCUCGUAGUUCGGGAUAACAGGCCGAAAGGCUUGCUAAUACCGGAUGAGUUCAUGCUUAUGCAUAUAGGCAUGAAGAAAGGGUUAGCCCGCUAUGAGAUGAGCCCGCGUCCCAUUAGCUUGUUGGUGGGGUAAUGGCCUACCAAGGCAACGAUGGGUAGCCGGCCUGAGAGGGUGUACGGCCACACUGGGACUGAGACACGGCCCAGACUCCUACGGGGGCAGCAGUAGGGAAUUUUGGACAAUGGGCGCAAGCCUGAUCCAGCAAUGCCGCGUGCAGGAUGAAGGCCUUCGGGUUGUAAACUGCUUUUGUACGGAGCGAAAAAGCUCUCUCUAAUACAGGGGGCUCAUGACGGUACCGUAAGAAUAAGCACCGG
rnacentral:rRNA from 1 species